rnacentral:rRNA from 1 species
UACAGAGGUCUCAAGCGUUGUUCGGAUUCAUUGGGCGUAAAGGGUGCGUAGGCGGCGCGGUAAGUCGGGUGUGAAAUCUCGGAGCUUAACUCCGAAACUGCAUUCGAUACUGCCGUGCUUGAGGACUGGAGAGGAGACUGGAAUUUACGGUGUAGCGGUGAAAUGCGUAGAUAUCAGGAGGAACACCGGUGGCGAAGGCGGCUCACUGGCCCGGUACUGACGCUGAGGUGCGAAAGCGUGGGGAGCAAACAGG